GGGCAGCCAAGUCGUGAGGCGGAGCUAAUCCCUUAAAGCCAUUCUCAGUUCGGAUUGUAGGCUGAAACUCGCCUACAUGAAGCUGGAGUUACUAGUAAUCGCAGAUCAGAAUGCUGCGGUGAAUGCGUUCCCGGGUCUUGUACACACCGCCCGUCACACCACGGAAGUUGGGGGCGCCCGAAGCCACCUGGCUAACCCUUUUGGGAAGCGAGUGUCGAAGGUGAAAUCAAUAACUGGGGUGAAGUCGUAACAAGGUAGC
rnacentral:rRNA from 1 species